AUUCAGGAUAGAGCUAAAGCACACUGAAGAUUGAGCUGGUUACACCUUCAAUAUAAAGGGUAACAGUUGCAAGAGAUCCUGCACUCUGCAAUUCUUCUGAAACUGGUGAUGAGGACUGAGUGGGCAAUACCGUCAUUCUCUCAAACUGCUGCGGAUACAAUUUCCUCUACAACAAUGCUUGCUUUAAGAAAUGCACCUCCAAGCUUGCAAGAAAACUUCAUCAUGCUUUUAUUGUUGUCAGCAGACACUCAUUUUUGUACUGCUUUCCAUCCCUUUGGCAAAGAAACCUUGCCUCCUGCUACAACCAAAUAUUAUUUUUUAUAUAUAUUUUUA